ACCAGACUCCUACGGGAGGCAGCAGUGGGGGAUAUUGCACAAUGGGGGGAACCCUGAUGCAGCGACGCCGCGUGGGUGAAGAAGCGCCUCGGCGCGUAAAGCCCUGUCAGCAGGGAAGAAAAUGACGGUACCUGAAGAAGAAGCCCCGGCUAACUACGUGCCAGCAGCCGCGGUAAUACGUAGGGGGCAAGCGUUAUCCGGAUUUACUGGGUGUAAAGGGGGCGCAGACGGCGAUGCAAGCCAGGAGUGAAAGCCCGGGGCCCAACCCCGGGACUGCUCUUGGAACUACGUGGCUGGAGUGCAGGAGGGGCAGGCGGAAUUCCUGGUGCAGCGGUGAAAUGCGUAGAUAUCAGGAGGAACACCGGUGGCGAAGGCGGCCUGCUGGACUGCAACUGACGUUGAGGCCCGAAAGCGUGGGGAGCAAACAGGAUUAGAUACCCCAGUA
rnacentral:rRNA from 1 species